UGACGCUGAGGCACGAAAGCGUGGGUAUCAAACAGGAUUAGAUACCCUGGUAGUCCACGCAGUAAACGAUGAAUACUAGCUGUUGGCGAUAGAAUGUCAGUGGUAAAGCGAAAGUGUUAAGUAUUCCACCUGGGGAGUACGCCGGCAACGGUGAAACUCAAAGGAAUUGACGGGGGCCCGCACAAGCGGAGGAACAUGUGGUUUAAUUCGAUGAUACGCGAGGAACCUUACCCGGGCUUGAAAGUUAAUGAAUGAUGUGGAAACACAUCAGUGUAGCAAUACACACGAAACUAGGUGCUGCAUGGUUGUCGUCAGCUCGUGCCGUGAGGUGUCGGCUUAAGUGCCAUAACGAGCGCAGCCCCUGCUGUCAGUUGCCAUCAGGUAAAGCUGGGUACUCUGUCGGGACUGCUACUGUAAGGUAGAGGAGGGUGGGGAUGACGUCAAAUCAGCACGGCCCUUACGUCCGGGGCGACACACGUGUUACAAUGGUAGGUACAGAGGGUAGCUACUCGGCGACGAGAUGCCAAUCUCCUAAAACCUGCCUCAGUUCGGAUCGGAGUCUACAACUCGACUCCGUGAAGCUGGAUUCGCUAGUAAUCG
rnacentral:rRNA from 1 species